rnacentral:rRNA from 1 species
GUGCCAGCAGCCGCGGUAAUACGUAGGGUGCAAGCGUUAUCCGGAAUUAUUGGGCGUAAAGAGCUCGUAGGCGGUUUGUCGCGUCUGCUGUGAAAACCCGAGGCUCAACCUCGGGCCUGCAGUGGGUACGGGCAGACUAGAGUGCGGUAGGGGAGAUUGGAAUUCCUGGUGUAGCGGUGGAAUGCGCAGAUAUCAGGAGGAACACCGAUGGCGAAGGCAGAUCUCUGGGCCGUUACUGACGCUGAGGAGCGAAAGCAUGGGGAGCGAACAGGAUUAGAUACCCUGGUAGUCC